rnacentral:rRNA from 1 species
UACGGGGGGGGCAAGCGUUGUUCGGAAUUACUGGGCGUAAGGGGCUCGUAGGCGGCCAACUAAGUCGGACGUGAAAUCCCCAGGCUCAACCUGGGAACUGCGUCCGAUACUGGAUGGCUUGAAUCCGGGAGAGGGAUGCAGAAUUCCAGGUGUAGCGGUGAAAUGCGUAGAUAUCUGGAGGAAUACCGGUGGCGAAGGCGGCAUCCUGGACCGGCAUUGACGCUGAGGAGCGAAAGCCAGGGGAGCAAACGGG